rnacentral:lncRNA from 1 species
GUCAUGGUUAUGGCAAUGUUUAAACAUGCCCAACUGAUGUAAAUUAUUGAAUGUCUCUGAUCUGUUUCCAUAGCACCAGUCAACCCCUCUCACUGCCCACAUACACACACAUUGCCCCUUUAGAUCUUACAACUGAUGCUAGUGAAAACAUUUUGGGGGUCCCUGCCUGUCGUCUGCAGAGCAACUGCAUUUGGUUGUCAUGGUUAUUCAGUGGGAUAAGGUGUAUAGAGACUAUUUUGAGAAGUGAGUCAUGCCGCCCACUGCCCCCUCUGCUUUGUCUUAUACACACACACACACACACACACACACACACACACACAUACACAUACAGUCCCACUUCUCUGUCUGCCCAGUCCAGUACCCAUAAUACCACACACACACACACACACACACACACACACACACACACACACACAGAGAGAGCUCAAAUCUGUUUCUGCCCGGUACCCAUGAUACCACACAGCAGUGUUGCAGUCGAGUCACUAAACCUCAAGUCCGAGUCAAGUCUCGAGUCCCUAGUGUUCGAGGCCGUGUCCAAGUCUGAGUAUCGAAAGAAGAUUCCAAGCCACACACACAGAGAGAGAAAGAGACAGCCCCCUUCUGUGUCUACCCAGUUCCCAUCAUGCAGACACAGCUCAAUAGACAUAAUACACACACUAUACACACCGGCACAUCAAAUACACACACAGAGACACACACUCAGACACACACUAGACACACAUUUAGAUGCUGCCUUUACAUAUUUUUGCAUUCAUCUACUGUUGCUCCAACUAUAAAAAGACUGAGGGAAAAAGUGAACAAGAGAAAGAGAAACAACAAAACAGAGAGAGAGAGAGGGUGACAGAGAGAGAGAGAGAGAGAGAGAGGGAUAGAGAGAGAGGGAUAGAGAGAGAGAGCAACAGAGAGAGAGAGAGAGAAACAGAGAGAGUGACAGAGAGAGGGAGAGAGAGAGAAAAAAACAGAGAGAAAGAGACAGAGUGACAGAGAGAGAGAUUGACAGAGAGAGAGUGACAGAGAGAGGGAGAGGGUGA